rnacentral:lncRNA from 1 species
UAAAACGUCCUGACUGGGGACUUCCCUGGUGGUCGAGUGGUUAGGAAUUCAUCUUCCAAUGAGGGGGACAUGGGUUAGAUCCCUGGUUGGGGAACUAGAUCCCACAUGCCAUGAGGCAGCUAAGCCUGCAUGCAAUGACAAAGCUCUUGCAUGCUGCAACUGAGACCUGACGCAGCCCAAAAUAAAUAAUUAAAAAGUACCGAUCUAGACAUGUGGUAUCUAUGCUAAUUUAUAGUUUAAUAACAUUUUAUGUGUUUUCCAGGUGCCUCUACAAGGAUGAAAUUUGUACACGAGAAAAGCAAACAUUUAAAGGACUGAUGUUCUUGAAACAGUUGCUUCCAUCCAAGACAGAAGCAAUUGAUUCUUAAAGAAGGGCUAAUAUUCCCAGGAUUUUAAACAGCGGCAAAACUCAUUGGUGAAGGAUACAGCUCUGGGUUCUUUUCCAGUUGCGGUAAGCGGCUCUAUUCUUGGUUGACAGGCCUUUUGUAAUCUGUAUGUGACUUAAAUCCGGAAAUGAAAUAUAAAAUGAAGCCCUUGUUAUGGGCACAGAGGAAACAGUAU